rnacentral:rRNA from 1 species
UACGUAGGGGGCAAGCGUUGUCCGGAAUCAUUGGGCGUAAAGCGCGUGUAGGCGGCCAGAAAAGUCCGCUGUGAAAACUCGAGGCUCAACUUCGAGCUGUCGGUGGAAACUUUCUGGCUAGAGUCCGGAAGAGGAGAAUGGAAUUCCUGGUGUAGCGGUGAAAUGCGCAGAUAUCAGGAAGAACACCCGUGGCGAAGGCGGUCCUCUGGGACGGUACUGACGCUGAGACGCGAAAGCGUGGGGAGCGAACAGG